rnacentral:rRNA from 1 species
AAGCGUGCACAUCAGCUCAUAGCGUAUAUUAAAGUUGUAUGCAGUUAAAAAGCUCGUAGUUGAAUUUCGGGAUCAACAUUUAAGGUCAUGCCGUUGGUAUGCACUGUUAUCAUUGAUUUCUCACCUUCUAAAGAACCGUAAUGCCAUUAAUUUGGUGUUACGGGGAAUUAGGACUGUUACCUUGAAAAAAUUAGAGUGUUUAAAGCAGGCA